AACGCGUAGGUAAUCUAUCCUUACAUUUGGGAUAACAUUGGGAAACUGGUGCUAAUACAGAAUGGUCUUCUUUGCUGCGGGGCGAAGGAGUAAAGGUGGCCUCUUCAUGAAAGCUACCGUGUAGGGAUGAGCCUGCGUACCAUUAGCUAGUAGGUGGGGUAACGGCCCACCUAGGCUACGAUGGUUAGCGGGUCUGAGAGGAUGAUCCGCCACACUGGAACUGAAACACGGACCAG
rnacentral:rRNA from 1 species